GAUGAACGCUGGCGGCGUGCCUAAUACAUGCAAGUCGAGCGAACAGACGAGGAGCUUGCUCCUCUGACGUUAGCGGCGGACGGGUGAGUAACACGUGGAUAACCUACCUAUAAGACUGGGAUAACUUCGGGAAACCGGAGCUAAUACCGGAUAAUAUAUUGAACCGCAUGGUUCAAUAGUGAAAGAUGGUUUUGCUGUCACCUAUAGAUGGAUCCGCGCCGCAUUAGCUAGUUGGUAAGGUAACGGCUUACCAAGGCGACGAUGCGUAGCCGACCUGAGAGGUUGAUCGGCCACACUGGAACUGAGACACGGUCCAGACUCCUACGGGAGGCAGCAGUAGGGAAUCUUCCGCAAUGGGCGAAAGCCUGACGGAGCAACGCCGCGUGAGUGAUGAAGGUCUUCGGAUCGUAAAACUCUGUUAUUAGGGAAGAACAAAUGUGUAAGUAACUAUGCACGUCUUGACGGUACCUAAUCAGAAAGCCACGGCUAACUACGUG
rnacentral:rRNA from 1 species